rnacentral:rRNA from 1 species
GAUGAACGCUGGCGGCGUGCCUAAUACAUGCAAGUCGAGCGAACAGACGAGGAGCUUGCUCCUCUGACGUUAGCGGCGGACGGAUGAGUAACACGUGGAUAACCUACCUAUAAGACUGGGAUAACUUCGGGAAACCGGAGCUAAUACCGGAUAAUAUAUUGAACCGCAUGGUUCAAUAGUGAAAGACGGUUUUGCUGUCACUUAUAGAUGGAUCCGCGCCGCAUUAGCUAGUUGGUAAGGUAACGGCUUACCAAGGCAACGAUGCGUAGCCGACCUGAGAGGGUGAUCGGCCACACUGGAACUGAGACACGGUCCAGACUCCUACGGGAGGCAGCAGUAGGGAAUCUUCCGCAAUGGGCGAAAGCUUGACGGAGCAACGCCGCGUGAGUGAUGAAGGUCUUCAGAUCGUAAAACUCUGUUAUUAGGGAAGAACAAAUGUGUAAGUAACUAUGCACGUCUUGACGGUACCUAAUCAGAAAGCCACGGCUAACUACGUG